rnacentral:lncRNA from 7 species
ACAUAACAUCCCAUAUCACACUUGCAGGCUCUUCCUGUGAGCAUAAAGCUGGCUACCUCAUGAGAAUCACCUUAUGCUGCACUUCCCAGAGAGUUCCUUAGGACACCAGAACUGAAGUCAACGGGAAUUUUGGAGGUGUGAAGAGCUACUCAGAAGAAGCAAGGAUUUUCCAGGUCACAUAAAUGAGGCAGCAGGUUCUCCUUUUCAUUACAUCUGAUGUUUUGACCUCUGCUACUGGGGCAGCAUAAGUUAAAAGCAACCAAAGCCUUAUUCUGCUCAUCGGGGAGCUGCUGCAGAGAGGAUAUAGGCAACCUUUUUUGGUGGCAGGUAGCAUGCCCUGCUCCCUGCCUCGAUUACUUGGAGCCCAGAGACCUGCCCUGAAGACCUCCUCCUCAAAACUGCUCACGCCAGUUCCCCUCUCAGAACAGCAAGGCAGCAAGCACACAAGGAGAUGAGACAUUGCACUGCUGGGGAGGCUGAAGGAAUGCAGGCACCCAGGUGCUCACCCUCCACCAGGAACUGGGAUGAGGGUUUGUAGGAGGGCAUCUUUUGGCUAAGGGCAUUUUCUGCUGUUUGCUGGAGGUGGUAUUGAUUACUCGCAAACAGCACUGCAGCCUUUUAAGUCAGUGCUGGUAACACAUUCCAGCAUGGAGCCAGAGCUUGUGGGGAGGCCUUUUGAAAGAGAAAGCAAGCUGAAGCCUAACUCAGUGGGAGCGUUAAAUACUUUCUGAUACAGUUUAUAAUAGCAUUGUCAAAAAGAAAGUUUUCAAUUUUGAGAGGACUGGGGACUUGAAGGAAGGAGUUACCCACAG